GACGAACGCUGGCGGCGUGCUUAACACAUGCAAGUCGAGCGGUAAGGCCCUUUCGGGGGUACACGAGCGGCGAACGGGUGAGUAACACGUGGGUGACCUGCCCUUAGCUCUGGGAUAAGCCUGGGAAACUGGGUCUAAUACCGGAUAUGACUCCAUGACGCAUGUUGUGGGGUGGAAAGCCUUGUGCGGCUAGGGAUGGGCCUGCGGCCUAUCAGCUUGUUGGUGGGGUGANGGCCUACCAAGGCGACGACGGGUAGCCGGCCUGAGAGGGCGACCGGCCAUACUGGGACUGAGACACGGCCCAGACUCCUACGGGAGGCAGCAGUGGGGAAUCUUGCGCAAUGGGCGAAAGCCUGACGCAGCGACGCCGCGUGGGGAUGACGGCCU
rnacentral:rRNA from 1 species